rnacentral:tRNA from 1 species
GCCUGGGUGGCUCAGUCGGUUAAGCGUUUACUUCGGCUCAGGUCAUGAUCUCACAGUUCGUGGGUUCAAGCCCCGCCUUAGGCU